rnacentral:rRNA from 1 species
UACAGAGGGUGCAAGCGUUAAUCGGAAUUACUGGGCGUAAAGCGCGCGUAGGUGGUUUGUUAAGUUGGAUGUGAAAUCCGCGGGCUCAACCUGUGAACUGCAUCCAAAACUGGCAAGCUAGAGUAUGGCAGAGGGCGGUGGAAUUUCCUGUGUAGCGGUGAAAUGCGUAGAUAUAGGAAGGAACACCAGUGGCGAAGGCGACCACCUGGGCUCAUACUGACACUGAGGUGCGAAAGCGUGGGGAGCAAACAGG